rnacentral:rRNA from 1 species
GAUGAACGCUGGCGGCGUGCCUAAUACAUGCAAGUCGAGCGAACGGACGAGAAGCUUGCUUUUCUGAUGUUAGCGGCGGACGGGUGAGUAACACGUGGAUAACCUACCUAUAAGACUGGGAUAACUUCGGGAAACCGGAGCUAAUACCGGAUAAUAUUUUGAACCGCAUGGUUCAAAAGUGAAAGACGGUCUUGCUGUCACUUAUAGAUGGAUCCGCGCUGCAUUAGCUAGUUGGUAAGGUAACGGCUUACCAAGGCAACGAUGCAUAGCCGACCUGAGAGGGUGAUCGGCCACACUGGAACGGAGACACGGUCCAGACUCCUACGGGAGGCAGCAGUAGGGAAUCUUCCGCGAUGGGCGAAAGCCUGACGGAGCAACGCCGCAUGAGUGAUGAAGGUCUUCGGAUCGUAAAACUCUGUUAUUAGGGAAGAACAUAUGUGUAAGUAACUGUGCACAUCUUGACGGUACCUAAUCAGAAAGCCACGGCUAACUACGUG